rnacentral:rRNA from 1 species
GGAUUAGAUACCCUGGUAGUCCACGCCGUAAACGAUGUCAACUAGCCGUUGGGAACCUUGAGUUCUUAGUGGCGCAGCUAACGCACUAAGUUGACCGCCUGGGGAGUACGGUCGCAAGAUUAAAACUCAAAUGAAUUGACGGGGGCCCGCACAAGCGGUGGAGCAUGUGGUUUAAUUCGAAGCAACGCGAAGAACCUUACCUGGCCUUGACAUGCAGAGAACUUUCCAGAGAUGGAUUGGUGCCUUCGGGAACUCUGACACAGGUGCUGCAUGGCUGUCGUCAGCUCGUGCCG